rnacentral:tRNA from 1 species
GAGCCCAUGGCUCAAUGGUUAGAGCGUUUGAUUUCUAUUCAACCGGUCACGAGUUCGAACCUGGGGCGCG